rnacentral:rRNA from 1 species
ACGGGGCGCUUCGGUACCUAGUGGCGGACGGGUGAGUAACGCGUGAGAAUCUGGCCUCAGGUCCGGGACAACCAUUGGAAACGAUGGCUAAUACCGGAUGUGCCUCAGGGUGAAAGAUUAAUUGCCUGAGGAUGAGCUCGCGUCUGAUUAGCUAGUUGGUGGGGUAAGAGCCUACCAAGGCGACGAUCAGUAACUGGUCUGAGAGGAUGACCAGUCACACUGGGACUGAGACACGGCCCAGACUCCUACGGGAGGCAGCAGUGGGGAAUUUUCCGCAAUGGGCGAAAGCCUGACGGAGCAAUACCGCGUGAGGGAGGAAGGCUCUUGGGUUGUAAACCUCUUUUCUCAGGGAAGAACAAUGACGGUACCUGAGGAAUCAGCAUCGGCUAACUCCGUGCCAGCAGCCGCGGUAAUACGGAGGAUGCAAGCGUUAUCCGGAAUUAUUGGGCGUAAAGCGUCUGUAGGUGGACAUUCAAGUCUGCUGUCAAAGACCGGGGCUUAACCCUGGAAAGGCGGUGGAAACUGAAGGUCUAGAGUGCGGUAGGGGUAGAGGGAAUUCCCAGUGUAGCGGUGAAAUGCGUAGAGAUUGGGAAGAACACCGGUGGCGAAAGCGCUCUACUGGGCCUGCACUGACACUAAGGGACGAAAGCUAGGGGAGCGAAUGGGAUUAGAUACCCCAGUAGUCCUAGCCGUA